rnacentral:rRNA from 1 species
CAGUCACACUGGAACUGAGACACGGUCCAGACUCCUACGGGAGGCAGCAGUGGGGAAUCUUGCACAAUGGGCGAAAGCCUGAUGCAGCGACGCCGCGUGGGUGAAGAAGGCCCUCGGGUCGUAAAGCCCUUUCGGCUGGGAAGAAGGGCGAUGGAGUUAAUACUCCCAUCGUCUGACGGUACCAGAAGAAGAAGCACCGGCUAAUUCCGUGCCAGCAGCCGCGGUAAUACGGAAGGUGCAAGCGUUGUUCGGAAUGACUGGGCGUAAAGAGCACGUAGGCGGCUUUGUAAGUCGGAUGUGAAAUCCCCGGGCUCAACCCGGGAACUGCACCCGAAACUACUUAGCUUGAAUGCUUGAGAGGUUGGUAGAAUUCCAGGUGUAGGAGUGAAAUCCGUAGAUAUCUGGAGGAACAUCGGUGGCGAAGGCGGCCAACUGGCGAUGCAUUGACGCUAAGGUGCGAAAGCGUGGGGAGCAAACAGGAUUAGAUACCCUGGUAGUCCACGCCGUAAACAAUGGAUACUAGGUGUUCGGGAAGUUAACCUCCUGAGUACCAAAGCUAACGCAUUAAGUAUCCCGCCUGGGGAGUACGGUCGCAAGGCUAAAACUCAAAGGAAUUGACGGGGGCCCGCACAAGCGGUGGAGUAUGUGGUUUAAUUCGAAGCAACGCGCAGAACCUUACCUACCCUUAACAUCCCGUGACAACUGCAGAGAUGUAGCGUUCCCUUCGGGGACACGGUGAUAGGUGCUGCAUGGCUGUCGUCAGCUCGUGUCGUAAGAUGUCCGGUUAAGUCCGAUAACGAGCGCAACCCUUAUCCUUAGUUACCAGCUUUAAGUAGGGGACUCUAGGGAGACUGCCGGUGUUAAACCGGAGGAAGGCGGGGAUGACGUCAAGUCCUCAUGGCCCUUACGGGUAGGGCUACACACGUACUACAAUGGCAGAAACAAACCGUCGCGAAGCCGUAAGGUGGAGCUAAUCGGUAAAACACUGUCUCAGUCCGGAUUGGGGUCUGCAACUCGACCCCAUGAAGCUGGAAUCGCUAGUAAUCGCUGAUCAGCAAGCAGCGGUGAAUACGUUCCCGGGCCUUGUACACACCGCCCGUCACACCACGAAAGUGGUCAUAACCAGAAGCAGAUGAGCUAACCGCAAGGAGGCAGUCUACCAAGGUUGUGGCCGCGAUUGGGGUGAAGUCGGAACAAGGUA